rnacentral:rRNA from 1 species
AUUGAACGCUGGCGGCAUGCCUUACACAUGCAAGUCGAACGGCAGCACGGGAGCAAUCCUGGUGGCGAGUGGCGAACGGGUGAGUAAUAUAUCGGAACGUGCCCGGUCGUGGGGAUAACGUAGCGAAAGCUACGCUAAUACCGCAUACGAUCUACGGAUGAAAGCGGGGGAUCGCAAGACCUCGCGCGAUUGGAGCGGCCGAUAUCAGAUUAGGUAGUUGGUGAGGUAAAGGCUCACCAAGCCGACGAUCUGUAGCUGGUCUGAGAGGACGACCAGCCACACUGGGACUGAGACACGGCCCAGACUCCUACGGGAGGCAGCAGUGGGGAAUUUUGGACAAUGGGCGGCAAGCCUGAUCCAGCAAUGCCGCGUGCAGGAUGAAGGCCU